rnacentral:lncRNA from 1 species
GAGAGGCUGUAUGGCAUUUAUUACAUAGUGAAGAGUGCCAAAGAACUCUAGGACACCCUAGAUAGCAAAUAUGGUCUUGAUGAUGCUGGGGUAAAAAGAAUUUAUUGAAAAAGAAUUUCUAAGUGAAGGAUUGUUUAAGUUGAAUAUAAUAGUUUCUUCAAUAAAUGAAAAUUCUUUGAUCAUGAAUAUAGAACCUCCUUCUAUUUGGCAUGGUAGAUUAGGUCA